CAAUGCCAUAGAAGAUAAGGAAAGAUUAUAUAAGGAAGUUGGAAUUUGAUUUCGAACAGGAUUUCUUUUUAGGAUGAGAUUUGAUCUCAUCAAACUCCUUCCGCCACCUUUUAAAGAGCCAUAUUUUUGUGCAACAAGAUAUAUAGGUUUUUGACCAUAGGACAUCAGAUUUUUAGCAUCAAAAUCAGAAGGAGAAGGUGCACCCCUAAGCUCUCUUACAUGCCUAAAUAUUAGGAAGAGGCAUAGAAGAGUUGGACGUUCCC
rnacentral:lncRNA from 1 species